rnacentral:rRNA from 1 species
AAUAUUGCACAAUGGGGGAAACCCUGACGUAGUGACGCCUCGAGAGCGAAGAUGGNCANNGGUUCNUNAAGCAUAUCUUUAAGNNNNNAAACGGACGGACCAUCAGCAGGCAGAUCCGGUAAACUACGUGCCAGCAGCUGCGGUAAUACGUAGGGGGCGAGCGUUGUCCGGAAUUAUUGGGCGUAAAGGGCGCGUAGGCGCCCUUUUAAGUCAGAUGUGAAAGGCUACGGCUUAACCUUAGUUAGCAUUUGAAACUAAAAGGCUUGAGUGCAGGAGAGGAGAGUGGAAUUCCUAGUGUAGCGGUGAAAUGCGUAGAUAUUAGGAGGAACACCAGUGGCGAAGGCGACUCUCUGGACUGCAACUGACGCUGAGGCACGAAAGCGUGGGGAGCGAACAG